GAUCCUCCUCUGAAUUCUGGGAGUUGGAGUUCGGAAGUCUGGUGAGUGUUUUCUCAGGUUCGUCAUCAGAUGAAAAACAGAGAAAGCGAAACUAAGUAACAACAGAUUUUUGGUAGAAAAGAACUCCGUCAAGUCCUCGUUUUUCGACUAAUAUCGACUGAGGGCAGCGAUACUCCGUCCUAACGGGCGCUGUCUACACCAUAAAAAAUGGGGCUACACCCCAUACACCGGCUACACCCCAUACACCAAACAUUAGAAGAAUUGUACCGCAGGCUACACCCCAUACACCG